AUGACACCCUCAUCUGACCAGCUUCAUGAAUCGCAGCCAUCAGAGGUCCAGAGCCAAGAGAACAAUGCCUCUAAACAGGGUCCCAGAGACAGGCCUGUGGUGCAAGCUCUAUGGCACAUGGCCCGGAGGGGAGCUGAGGCUCUCUGCAAGACUCUGACUGGCUCAGAAAGAGAAGGUAUUGUAUACAAGGCAAGUCCUAAUACCUUUAGGAAUGUAAGGAAGAUGUGAAUUCUCAGGUAGUGUGGUCCUUCCCAAUACAUACAGGUUCAGAUGAGGGGAUGCCCCAGCAAGACUCAAUCUCAGAGGAGAUGUAUUUCCCUUGCUAUGAGGUACGAGGAGUCAGAGUUGGCCCAAAGACACGUUAUACUGCAUUUAUUCAGGGGAUGUACUGUUGUGACCUUGUUAAACGACUGUACCUCCAGAGCAGUGGGUGCUUGGAGAGAAGCUUCUUUUUGGGCGACACAGAUGUGAGAAUGUACCCAAACUCCUGGAGGUGAGUGUUCUGCCAAGAAUUGAAUCAAUAGUGCUCAAUAUGUCCAAAGAUGAUAUACUACCUUGUCUCUUUGACAACCAAGCUGACAAGCCAAGCAUGAUUCAGGAACAUUUACACUUGGUGAAACGUCCUGUUGUACUCUUUAUCACAGACCCUACUUUUCAGAAAGUGAGGAUGAUGCCUUCAUCAACAUCAAGCUCAGUGCGAUCCGUCAAGCAUUUGAAGUAAGCAAUCCCCUGACUAGUCAUUUGUUAGCCAGAGACAGAGCGUCGCUCAUCCAUGUCUGUUUCCUGUACCAAGCUCAUUCUCAGAGACCCGGAGGCCAAACACUUCCUGAAGGAGACAGGAAAGAGCCUGAUAGGAGGGCUACUAUCUUUAGCAGGGAAGGUAUGUAGCUUGUAAUAUAUCCACCACACCCUCUGGAAAUUUACUGAACAAAAAUAUAAAUGCAACAAUUUCAACGAGUUACAGUUCAUAUAAGGAAAUCAGUUAAUUGAAAUAAAUUCAAUGGGCCCUAAUCUCUGGAUUUCACAUGACUGGGCAGGGGCGCAGCUAUGGGUGGGCCUGGGAGGGCAUAGGCCCACCCACU
rnacentral:lncRNA from 1 species